UUCAAGUAAUCCAGGAUAGGCUGUGUCCAGCUGCGGGCCUAUCCUUGAUUGCUUGUUUC
rnacentral:pre_miRNA from 1 species